CCUACGGGUGGCAGCAGUGAGGAAUAUUGGUCAAUGGGCGGAAGCCUGAACCAGCCAAGUAGCGUGCAGGAUGACGGCCCUACGGGUUGUAAACUGCUUUUAUACGGGAAUAACGCGCCUUACGUGUAGGGCUUUGCAUGUACCGUAUGAAUAAGGACCGGCUCAUUCCGUGCCAGCAGCCGCGGUAAUACGGAAGGUCCGGGCGUUAUCCGGAUUUAUUGGGUUUAAAGGGGGCGUAGGCCGCAUGACAAGCGUGCUGUGAAAUGUCCGAGCUCAACCCGGGCCUUGCAGCGCGAACUGGCGUGCGUGAGUGCGCGGAAGGCAGGCGGAAUU
rnacentral:rRNA from 1 species